rnacentral:rRNA from 1 species
CGAUGCGGGUUACUACUUGUAGUAUUGCCUGCACGUUCUUGUAUAUUUAGUUGCAAGAUGUUGUCGGCGUGCACUUCUUUCCUAGUAGGACGUCGCGACCCGUUGGGUGUCGGUCUACGGCCCAAGUGAUAGCCUUUAAUGUAAUUUAAAAAUCAUUGAAGAUCCUUGGUGUUUUCUGACCGGCUACUCGGCGGUACUCGUUACGGUAUUUAGCCGCUAAAUUAUUAGCGUCCAUGUCCGUCACAAGCGAGGCCAAUUUACUGAUAGUGCGGACCUAGUGCUGUCGUUGGUAUUGGCCAGCUGUUGGUUGUACGUGAUUCUGGGACUGGCUAAAAUUAAUUACCGGUNGGCGAUGCUACUGCUUUGGGUACUUUCAGGACCCGUCUUGAAACACGGACCAAGGAGUCUAACAUGUGCGCAAGUCAUUGGGAUUUUUUNNUANUUAAACCUAAAGGCGU